AAAUAUCUUAAAAUGUGAUAUUUCAAGAGUUAUUAGUGGUUUUACUUUAUAUAAGCAUCAUAUAAUUAAGGUUUCCCACACAGGUUCAUGUUUUAUCAAUAUUGAGUUUCAUCAUGAGAUUUACAUUUAAAAUAAUACAGUCUGUCAUAUAGUAAGAUAGUAGUUUAGUGGAUGAUUUAAGUAGUAGAGUCUGACUAUACAUAAUGAAUCGUAUUCCUGUGUGUCAACUAUGUGUUUUAUCUGCAAUCAGACCCUGAGAGUCGAGACAUGACGUGUUCAAUUGCUCUCUUUUGUGCUCUCCUCUCAGGUGUGAUACAUCAACCCCAGAACUCAUACGUCUCAAAGACUGACAGCAUGGUCUUUCCGGUGCCUGUUGAGGGCCGGAUCUCAUCCUCAUCCACACAUUAUGAGGUUCAGGCUCUCCUGGGGAGCGGCUCCUUUGGAGACGUAGCACGGUGUAAAAUCGUAGCCACCAAUAAAACAGUGGCUUUAAAAGUCCAGCAAAUGUAGGCACCCCUUGUGCUGGCAGAAGGGGAGAUGGCCACCCUUAAAACCAUGAAAGAGCUUGGCUCUGACAAAUAUUACAUUAUCAGAUGGAACGGGACUUUCACCUUCUUUGGACGAAUCUGUCUGGAAUUUGAAAUAUUGGACAUUAGUCUCCGUGAAUUUCUGGAGAAGAGAAGGCAUCAACCUUUUGGUUUGAUGGAGAUCCGUCCAAUCAUCCAGCAGUUGGCGACAGCUCUGGACUUUUUGAAAGGUGCAGGGAUCGUCCACGCUGACCUGAAACCCGGUAAUAUAAUGAUGGUGGACCAUGAGCAGCAGCCUCUGAAAAUCAAAGUCAUCGACUUUGGCCAAGCUUUGAAGGAUCCUGCUGAACACACAGGUUCGGUCCUGACGUCUCUGUGGUACAGAGCUCCAGAGAUGCUAUUGGGAGCUCCCUUCAAUGAAGCCAUUGAUGUCUGGUCCCUGGGAUGCAUGGCUGCAGAGAUUUUGAUGAACUCUGUGCUGUUUCGAGGCGCUAAUGAGUACGACAUGAUAAGGCACAUCUAUAACACUAUUGGAAAGGCUCCUCAACACAUGUGCUCUGGCAUGUACAGUAUACCAAGUAUUUUCACACUUGUUCACACACAGCCAAAGGAGAGCCUGUCUGGGUAUUUCCGUCAAGUCUUGUGGCGAGAAACUAUAAUGGUUACCCACACACACUCACCAAGCUGAGUGACCUGCUGACGUACAAAGUGUCUCAUGGGCUCUCUGGAGAAGAUCUCCAGGCUUAUUUAUACGACCUUGUGGUCUUUAUGGACCUACUCAAAAAGACUCUAAAAGGUGGACGGUGCCGAGAGACUCACACCAUCAGAAAUUCUCCAGCACCCUUUCAUAACCAUGUGCCACCUUGUUGGCAGGUUCGAACACAGCUCACAUGUGAAGAAGGGCAUGGAGCUGAUGACUAUUUGUAAGAAUGUGAACUGUGAUGAUGAGGAAACCUCCAACUUCACUGCUGGCCCCAUCCACCAUGGAGGUCCUGAAGUGGGUCAUCCUGCAGAACUGGACCAUCUCAUCACUGGUGAAAACAGUUCAAAUAAGAGGAAGAUGGAUGGUGAAGAUAACACAGAGCAUGGGAGAAGGUAUAACUUCCUUCGUUGGCCUUUACCUUUUUAAGAGACAGUCAGAAAGUUUGAGACAUUCAUUCAGGUUCAAAGUCAGAGUUCAAAGAGAGAAAUAAUUUUCAUUUCAAUUAAUACUAUGCUCAAGUGGACCAUAUAUUUCUUUGUGUAGCAAUAAUCCAAAUAAAAAUCUAGUGAACUUAGUGUUGCUUGUGAGUAGCUUGACGUCACAACUGUCCUUACAGUCACACAAAGUGAAAAGCAUGACUAAAUAAAAAUGAAGAUCUCUGAUUAUGUAUUGUUUAGUGUGUUAUUUGAAGCCUGUAACUAUUGACACCAUGUCGAUGUCAGGAGAAGCAAGUCACAGCUUGAAAACCAGAAAUGUCUUUGGUAACAAUGUUUCACAUGUAGAGAUCUA